rnacentral:rRNA from 1 species
AGUGAACGCUGGCGGCAGGCCUAACACAUGCAAGUCGAGCGGCAGCGCGUCCGACCACCCUCGGGUGGUCGGAUGGCGGCGAGCGGCGGACGGGUGAGGAAUGCAUCGGAAUCUGCCUCGUUGUGGGGGAUAACGUAGGGAAACUUACGCUAAUACCGCAUACGACCUACGGGUGAAAGUGGGGGACCUUCGGGCCUCACGCGAUGAGAUGACGCCGAUGCCGGAUUAGCUAGUUGGCGGGGUAAAGGCCCACCAAGGCGACGAUCCGUAGCUGGUCUGAGAGGAUGAUCAGCCAACAACUGGAACUGAGACACGGUCCAGACUCCUACGGGAGGCAGCAGUGGGGAAUAUUGGACAAUGGGGGGCAACCCUGAUCCAGCCAUGCCGCGUGUGUGAAGAAGGCCUGG